GGAAGAGGUAGAGAGAGGAUCAGAUAGGGGAGAAAUUGAAGCCGGACUCCAGAUCGACACCGGCGCGCUACUGGUGGAAAUGGUUGGGACUGAGGUACUGGAAGGAGACAUACACACCUCAGACAGAUUUGAAUAUAGAUUUAGGUUUUAAACCCAAAGCCAGAAACAGCAGCUUCAAUCAAACUCCGGUUGCAUCCCGCUGGAAAUCCAUCCAUUUUCAGCUCUGCGAUGGAAUUUGUUCGCGAGAAAACCUACGCAGUUCUCACAAUGUUCAGGAUGCUGAAAAAAUUCUCUCACAGGACGCAUGUCGCCUCAACGAGAACAGUUUGUCAGACUGGGGCUCGGAAUUGAUGGGUCUUGAUGGCUACAAUCUACAGGCUGACAUGUCACACGCUCAGAGGCGAUGGAAUGCGGCUGAAGACGACGGGGGCUCUACCACAAACAAAUGGAUUCAAUUAAGUAUCUCCUGAUUCCAAAUAUCAAUACACGAAGGCGAGCUCAGCCUGCACGAAUCUGGCGAGGAGGGGCAACGCAAACGGGAGCCGCGGGGCAUCUGGAACCUCAAGGGUGAGAGUGUGGUUCCGGUCUGACAUGAGCAGCGCUUGGGCCUCCGCUUGUUUUCUCCUGAGGACAAAGAAAGGGCAGAUAACUCCCCUACACUAUAAGAAAAGGCACUCCCCAACAGUGGUACAUAGAUAAAGUGGCUUGCCUUGAACAUCAGGUGAAGUGUUGCCCAUUGUCACACAGCCGCUCAAAGCACCACCCUCUCCAAACAAGUGUUCUAUAAAUGGGCAAGCUCAAUCCACACUGAUGAGAGCGCAGGCCUGCUGCGCCACAAGGUAAACGGAGACCAAGAGACCAAGACCAAGAGUACACAGCCUCCUGUUUCACCUCUGCAACUUCUUUAUUUUAUUUCUUUUUGCACACAAAAUGUGUUUUGAUAUUUUUAUUUUAAAAAGUUGCACUGUGAUUUAAUUUCUGUGUGUGUCUAUUCUGUUUGUGUGUAUACAUGCACACACAAAUAGAAUGAAUAAACCAGUCUGGUUUACAUAACUGCUCAAACUGUAAAACCACAGCAGAAAUAAACAUGUAU